AUCCGCGUGACGCAGCGGUUAGCGUGUUGCUCUUAUACAAGUAAAUCACUUUACUACCUAUGCAAAGGUCGCGAGUUCGAUCCUCGCCGCGGAUA